GUCCGCGGGAAGAACGUGCGCGCUCAAACCUCGGACGGUAGAGCUCCGCGAUUGGCGAGACAUAUUCAUACACUUUGGAAAGAAAGCUGGCAGUUUUAAAAACUGUCCUGUUCAUUUUGUCCUGGAAAAAAAAAGAGAUCCAGCGUGCAGAGCCCUUCCACAUGGCUGGUUUCUCAAUAAGAAGUCCGGGAUUCGGCUGUUUUGGGAUCUCUGUGCUGCUGCUGAUCAUCUUCCUUCAAAUCUUGAUGGUGCACUUCGGUAGAGUUUUCAUCCUGCCCCAUGAAGUCCUCAAUGACCCUUCAUUUUUCUGCCCAAACAGUCAACAUGAUAAACUAUCGUGCGGUCAGUGGGCAAGGUCGCUACACUCUAGUCAUAUUGACUUGAUGUUUAACAUGAUGAUCCCCGUGUGUUUUUAUGCUCCAGUUGUGCUUGUGGCCUUCGGGCUGCUGAGCAUGAUGUUCGCUGCUUAUGGCAAAGACAGAACAACGCUCAAGUGCAGCUUUGUCUGCCAGGCCGCAUCCAGCCUGCUCACUCUGGGAGGCAUCAUUCUGUUUUUGAUACGGUAUCGCUCCUACAGGAGUUGGAAAGACAUGGCACUUUGGUUCUACUUGUGUGUGGGUGUGGACUUACAGUUGAUUGUGGCAACUGUGCUCACGAGGGUUUUAGGACGGACGCUUACUUCCGACUGGAAAUAGAUGGAUUCACACUCGGCUAGCUUCCACAGAAUUACAGGACUCAAUUUCUGUUUUGUUCUUUUCAUCGCCUUUGUUAAAAUUUGUAUGCUUGCUGACAUACUUGUGGAGUGUUGAAAGAGUUUUAUUUUUACUGCUGUACCAAUGAGAUGGGUGUAUUAAUAUAUAGAAGAUAUUUUAGGUAACAAACACAUUAAGUAAAUAUCUACUUUUCAGGGCUGUUUUGUUUUGUUUGUUGUGUUGUGUCAUAAAAGGGAGGGAAAUUAUUCACCCAUCAUUGGGACUGUGUGGUUGAUAAACAGAUGUACUUUAAUGGAUUUCAUUUUUACUCAGAAGUUGUUUUCGAGUUUGACGCUGGGUAAAAGCAAAAGAAAAGUCUGGGAUUUCCCCGACUCCUCCCUAUCCUUUCAGUCACACAUAAAGAACAUUAGCCGGUGUGCAUACUUCCAGCUAUGCAACAUUAAUUGCCUCCGUUCCUCCCUCACCACUCACACUGCCUCUAUUCUUAUCCACAGCCUCAUCACCUCCAGUCUUGAUUAUUGUAACUCUCUUCUUUUUGGCCUCCCUCAUAAAUCCCUCCAUAAACUCCAACUUCUUCAGAACUGUCAUCACCAGAACUCCGUCUUUUCAUCAUAUUUCCCCUGUCCUUCAGCAGCCCCAUUGGCUCCCAGUUCAAUUCGGAAUACAAUUUAAAAUCCUUCCGCAUACUUUCAAAGCCAUCCAUAACCUUGCUCCUCUAUAUCUAUCAGACCUCCUUCACAUGGCCACCUCCUCCAUCCACCUCACUGUACCCCAAAGCUCGACUGGGAGUUCCAGCUCUGGAACUCACUCCCACCUGGCCUCCGCAGAAUUGACUCUCUCCCCCUGUUUAAAACCAGACUCCAAACCCAUCUAUUUGUAAAUGCAUUGUUCUUGUCCCUCUUCAUAACUGUUUGUUUAUAUUUUUUCAAGGGCUGAACGAUUUUAGAAAAUAAUCUAAUUGCGAUUUUUUUUCUUAAUAUUG